GUUCGGAUUGCAGGCUGCAACCCGCCUGCAUGAAGUUGGAAUCGCUAGUAAUCGCGGAUCAGCAUGCCGCGGUGAAUACGUUCCCGGGCCUUGUACACACCGCCCGUCACACCAUGAGAGUCGGGAACACCCGAAGUCCGUAGCCUAACCGCAAGGGGGCGCGGCCGAAGGUGGGUUCGAUAAUUGGGGUGAAGUCGUAACAAGGUAGC
rnacentral:rRNA from 1 species